ensembl:lncRNA
GUAGGAGCUCGCUGAGUUCUGGUUCAGAAGAUGCAUUCUGUCCAUGAGUCCCCGAUCUCUUUUCGGGCAGUCUUAGCAGAGGUCAUGUGCAGGCCUGGAUCCCUCUUGCUGGGCCUCAGUCUCCUCAUCUACAAAAUGGGCACAAUGAUGUUUCCUACCAUCAGGGCUACUGAGGAGGGUGGGUGCCUGCAGUGCUGUGAUGUGGGAAGCCCAAACAAACCUUGUCACAGGGCGUGGUGCCCCCUGGUCCUGCUGGGAGCUUGGAGCCCAUCUUAAACCUCCCCUCCCCCAUGGAGCAGUACUUUAUUCUGCCAGUCUUCUUUCCUGCCCACAAACCUCACACAGGCCUGCUUUGCAGUUGGUCUCCCUCAAUUUGGCAGAAGAGCUGAGCAAAAAAAAAAAAAAAGAUGGUCUGAGCCUCCUGGAGCAGACGGUGUGGGAGAAGAGAAACCACAGAGGCAAGAGGGGGUGCUCAGAGCCUGAGAAACCCCAGCUCAACUCCCCUCUCCUGGUCUUGGGCUUCAGGUCUCCCUCUUGGGGAUGGACAUGGGCAAACAGAGCUUUACCAGGAUGCAGACAAGGACUAGACACAGCGGGGCUCCUGCUUGUAGGAGAUUUGGCAUCGAGGAUUGGUUUGAUGGCAAAGACGCCAACAGCCAGGUUUGCAGAGAACCUAAAGCUGGGAGAGAGGGUAUCUACAAAGGAGGACAGAACCAGAAUCGAAAAUGACUGGAGGACUGAAUGCCGAGCCUGCCGCUUUCCAGGUAUGCCACUUCAGACAAGUCACAAAAACCUUUUUGAACUCGGUUUCCCCAUCUGCAAAAUGGGACAGUGCCACCUGCAUUGCUGUGAGGGUCAGUGAGACCAGCUACGUGCACCCCCUAGCCCAGGGCCUGGCACGCAGCAGGCCCCUGAUAGCUGGUGGCAGCUGCUGUGAUUAAUGAUAGUGUGAGCUCCUCAAGGACAGGGGAUCUGUCUUUCUGUGCUGUAUCCUCAGUGCCUGGGAUGGCGUGGGCACCGAACAAAUGUUUGUCAGAUGAAUGAGCAAGAUGAAAUCUGACGGGGGAUAAAUGUCAGUUCUUGGACUCAGAUCCAAAGACCCAGCUGCACAUGGA